ACCUUUAGAAACGUAAAAGAACAACAAAACCAGCAGCUGAAAAUUAAUUACCUUCCCAUCUUCUUCGUCCCUAAUAACACACUUAGCUGUAGAAAAAUCACCCUUUCUUCAUCAAUUUGAUUUUUCUUUGUCCCAAACUUUUCAUCUUCUUCCCAUUCGUCUUCAACAUCACUAAUUUUUUUUCUUCAUCUUCUUCUCCUUCAUCUUAACAGUUUCAAUCUUUAUCUGUAAACCACCAAAAUCACAGACCCAUGGCAACAAAGAACCAGACCCAGCAUAAUCACCAGCGAACAUCCUGAUUUACCCCUUCUCUCUAUAAACGGGGUGGGUUUUGCAGUAUUUUCUUCAUUAAUUCAGGUGUUAUUUUGUCUUGUAGAUUCAUCCCGUUCACCUAUAACUCAAGAACACAGUGUUACAGGAGUGUAUGGAUGCUGUUGAAAUCUAGAUAGUCUAGCAACUGGUUAACCUGUGAUGCUCUGCUUCUGUAGCAGUCC